GGGUGGUUAGCUCAGUCGGUUAGAGCUUGGUGCUAAUAACGCCAAGGUCACGGGUUCUAUCCCCAUACAGGCCA
rnacentral:tRNA from 1 species